rnacentral:rRNA from 1 species
CAGCCGCCGCGGGAAUACGAAGGGGGCUAGCGUUGUUCGGAAUCACUGGGCGUAAAGCGCACGUAGGCGGAUUUUUAAGUCAGGGGUGAAAUCCCGAGGCUCAACCUCGGAACUGCCUUUGAUACUGGGGAUCUCGAGUCCGGGAGAGGUGAGUGGAACUGCGAGUGUAGAGGUGAAAUUCGUAGAUAUUCGCAAGAACACCAGUGGCGAAGGCGGCUCACUGGCCCGGUACUGACGCUGAGGUGCGAAAGCGUGGGGAGCAAACAGGAUUAGAUACCCGGGUAGUCCCUGUCUCUUAUAA